rnacentral:rRNA from 1 species
UACGUAGGGUGCAAGCGUUUGUCCGGAAUUACUGGGCGUAAAGAGCUCGUAAGUGGUUUGUCGCGUUGUCCGUGAAAACUCACAGCUCAACUGUGGGCGUGCGGGCGAUACGGGCAGACUGGAGUACUGCAGGGGAGACUGGAAUUCCUGGUGUAGCGGUGGAAUGCGCAGAUAUCAGGAGGAACACCGGUGGCGAAGGCGGGUCUCUGGGCAGUAACUGACGCUGGAGGAGCGGAAAGCGUGGGGAGCGAACAGG